rnacentral:lncRNA from 1 species
CUCAGGAGUUAAGAGCCUGGGCCACCAGCUCAUUGGGGUGGGGGUAGUGCUCCGAGUCCACACUUGUUCCUCCCACCCUUCCUCCACCCACCCGGUGUAACACUGGAUGCUGAGCCGGUGUGCGCAGAUCCCCAGGACGUGAGUGCGUGCAGAGGUCUGUGUUCGUGCGCUGGGGGCGGGAGAUGGGUUCGUGGGUGUACCUGGAGUCUUUCUGCGUGCUGCCCUGCGGGGUGCCUUGUUGCCUGGCGGCCAGAGGCUGAGUGUGAGCUGAGCCCCCCACCUCCCCGGCCCGUGCACCCGCGGAAAGAGGCUACUCUGCGCCCCCGGGAGUGGUGGCUCUUCUGAGCGGUCUGGGCCUUGCUCUGCUCCCUUUAGCCUCUCUGCUUCUGUCUCCCGGGGUCUCCUCGCACCCUCUUCUGCAAGGGUUUCCAAUUUCCUCAUCAGUUUCUCCGACCAGGUCCCUGGGGCUUUGCGUGCCCUUUCCAGUCGCUCGGAUUUAUCUAGCAGCGGGAGGUCGGGGGAACGCGAUUAGGUCAAGAGGGUGACCUCUGGAGGAGGGGGAGCCGUGCGGCAAGGGGAGGAGAGGAGGUUCCGGGACAGAGCUAGAGAUGCGGGGGGCGGGGGGCGAUAACUUAGCCAGCAGUACCCCCUCCGCCAAAACCCAAGGCACCUCCCACCCUCGGUCCUGCUCCCCGGACGGGACAAGGGGCGGAGUCUCGUCGGCCCCACUUGAGGCCACUCAGCUGCGCAGGCCCCCGGGCCCCUAUGCCCCCCCACCCGCUCUCCCCGCCCGCCCCCAGGCCGCCCCGAGUCCACUCCAGAUCCGGGCCGGGUUUCCCCCGCGUCGCUGGGGUCUCCGCCCCUCGGAGCCGCCGCCCCGGCCCAGGAGAGCAACGCAGCGGGAGGCGCCCGCAGCGCCGGGACCCCGAAGCUCCCCGCGGGCGCUCGCUUGCGGGACUGAGCCGCGGCAGACCCCACAGCCGCACUCGGACUCCGAGUCGGGGCUGCUCCGGUCCCCGCGCGUCACCCGAACUCGACCCUCGGGGCUCCGAAGUGACCCCUCUCCCGGCCCAGUUCGCUGUCCGCGUGGCCCGCCCCAGGCUCCGGCUCCGGCGAGCUCCGAGAAGCUGUCGACCUCAAGGGCAUCAAUAUUUCAGGUGUGUGGGGUGCGGUGGAGGUGGAGUGGGGGGCUCCCAGCAUGCCCAGCGAGGACAAUAAUCAUCCCCUCCCAAGAGUGGUCAUUCAUAUUUAUAAGAUUGAAAGAAUGGAACCAAGGAUGCGAGAAUGUGGAGGGUAAGGGAAACGCUGCCCCUCUUCUUGGAGCUGGGUCCAGGAGAUGCCUGAACUACAUCUCCCACAGUGCCCUGGAGGCACAGGGCUGCCUCUGCCUAGACACCUUAUGGGAAUGA